rnacentral:tRNA from 1 species
UCCCUGGUGGUCUAGUGGUUAGGACUUGGUGCUUUCACUGCUAUGGCCCAGCUUCAAUCCCUGGUCUGGGAA